AGUGAACGCUGGCGGUAGGCCUAACGCAUGCAAGUCGAACGGCAGCACAGUAAGAGCUUGCUCCUACGGGUGGCGAGUGGCGGACGGUUGAGGAAUACAUCGGAAUCUACUUUUUCGUGGGGGAUAACGUAGGGAAACUUACGCUAAUACCGCAUACGACCUACGGGUGAAAGCAGGGGAUCUUCGGACCUUGCGCGAUUGAAUGAGCCGAUGUCGGAUUAGCUAGUUGGCGGGGUAAAGGCCCACCAAGGCGACGAUCCGUAUCUGGUCUGAGAGGAUGAUCAGCCACACUGGAACUGAGACACGGUCCAGACUCCUACGGGAGGCAGCAGUGGGGAAUAUUGGACAAUGGGCGCAAGCCUGAUCCAGCCAUACCGCGUGGGUGAAGAAGGCCUUCGGGUUGUAAAGCCCUUUUGUUGGGAAAGAAAAGCAGCAGGUUAAUACCCCGCUGUUCUGACGGUACCCAAAGAAUAAGCACCGGCUAACUUCGUG
rnacentral:rRNA from 1 species